rnacentral:misc_RNA from 1 species
AGUGUGAAUCUCUUCUACAUUGGACUUGUUGGUUUUGUUCCCCCUCCGACUCUAAUACCACUUGUUAGAUAUCUGAAAAGCUUAGUUUCUUGAUGGGUCUUAUAAAAGAAAACACUUAUAAACUUAACACCACAUCCAAUCCAAGACAUUAAAGUAAUAAGUUUAUGAGUCUUUGCUACUUAUAUGUCUCUCAUUCAACCUAUCUUUUUUCAAUGUGAGAAUUGCGCCCUUCAGAUUCCCAACAAUCUCUUCAUUGCACAUAGUGGACUUUGGGCCACGACUUUUUCAUUGAGUAAUAAAAUUACUAAAAAAAUAAUAAUAAUGAUAACAAAUGAAAUAUUUUGUUUUUUUACAGUUUUGCAUAAUCCUUUUAAUUAUAAUUUUUAUAAUUGUCUCAAUUAAAUUUU